rnacentral:rRNA from 1 species
CGUGUAGGCGAUCGGGUAAGUCAGAUGUGAAAGCCUUCUGCUUAACAGAAGAAGUGCAUUUGAAACUGCUCGGCUAGAGUACGGGAGAGGAGAGUGGAAUUCCCGGUGUAGAGGUGAAAUUCGUAGAUAUCGGGAGGAACACCAGUGGCGAAGGCGGCUCUCUGGUCCGAUACUGACGCUGAGACGCGAAAGCGUGGGGAGCAAACAGGAUUAGAUACCCUGGUAGUCCACGCCGUAAACGAUGGGCACUAGGUGUAGGAGGUAUUGACCCCUUCUGUGCCGAAGUUAACGCAUUAAGUGCCCCGCCUGGGGAGUACGGCCGCAAGGCUAAA